UUCGAUGAUACGCGAGAAACCUACCAGGGCUUGACAUAUACAGGAAUGUUGUAGAGAUACAGCAGCCGCUUGCGGUCUGUAUACAGGUGCUGCAUGGCUGUCGUCAGCUCGUGCUGUGAAGUGUUGGGUUAAGUCCCGCAACGAGCGCAAUCCCUAUCAUCUGUUGCCAGCAUUUAGGGUGGGGACUCAGAUGAGACUGCCGGUGACAAACCGGAGGAAGGUGGGGACGACGUCAAGUCAUCAUGGCCCUUAUGUCCUGGGCUACACACGUGCUACAAUGGCCGGUACAGAGUGAAGCGAAACCGCGAGGUGAAGCAAAACGCAGAAAGCCGGUCUCAGUACGGAUUGGAGUCUGAAACUCGACUUCAUGAAGUUGGAAUCGCUAGUAAUCGCGCAUCAGCAUGGCGCGGUGAAUACGUUCCCGGGCCUU
rnacentral:rRNA from 1 species